GUGCUCUGCAGUAAACCAUGUCCCUCCAAAUGGCCGAUAGUGCACCAACAUAUCCAGUUUCUACUCGUAGUUUAUCCGCACUUUCUGAACUCAUCCGAUCCUCUCCUCGACCUAUGGGCCCCAUAGCGGCAUCGGCCCCUACAUCGACUGUCGACCAAUCCUCGCAUCGGCCUCCACUCCUAGCUCUAGCUAUUGAGCCCCCAAGAAGCUUCUUUAUGGCCCCAUCACGUCACCCGUUUAAAAAAUAGGAAUGACUAUGAGUAAGGCGAGUCCUCCAUGCUCU
rnacentral:lncRNA from 1 species